GAUGGCCUACGGGACGCAGCAGUGAGGAAUAUUGGUCAAUGGCCGGGAGGCUGAACCAGCCAAGUCGCGUGAGGGAAGACGGCCCUACGGGUUGUAAACCUCUUUUGUCAGGGAGCAAGGUGCAGGUCGGGACCUGCUGUGAGAGUACCUGAAGAAAAGGCAUCGGCUAACUCCGUGCCAGCAGCCGCGGUAAUACGGAGGAUGCGAGCGUUAUCCGGAUUUAUUGGGUUUAAGGGGUGCGCAGGCGGAGGCACAAGUCAGCGGGAAAAUAGCGGGGCUCAACCCCUCUCCGCCGUUGGAACUGG
rnacentral:rRNA from 1 species